rnacentral:misc_RNA from 1 species
GAUGAAGAACGUAGUGAAAUGCGAUAAGUAAUGUGAAUUGCAGAAUUCAGUGAAUCAUCGAAUCUUUGAACGCACAUUGCGCCCGCCAGCAUUCUGGCGGGCAUGCCUGUUCGAGCGUCAUUUCAACCCUCGAGCCCCCCCGGGGGCCUCGGUGUUGGGGGACGGCACACCAGCCGCCCCCGAAAUGCAGUGGCGACCCCGCCGCAGCCUCCCCUGCGUAGUAGCACACACCUCGCACCGGAGCGCGGAGGCGGUCACGCCGUAAAACGCCCAACUUUCUUAGAGUUGACCUCGGAUCAGGUAGGAAUACCCGCUGAACUUAAGCAUAUCAUAAGCGGAGGA